UACGUAGGCAGCGAGCGUUGUUCGGAGUUACUGGGCGUAAAGGGUGUGUAGGCGGUUGUUUAAGUUUGGUGUGAAAUCUCCCGGCUCAACUGGGAGGGUGCGCCGAAUACUGAAUGACUUGGAGUGCGGGAGAGGAGAGUGGAAUUCCUGGUGUAGCGGUGAAAUGCGUAGAUAUCAGGAGGAACACCAGUGGCGAAGGCGGCUUUCUGGACGGUAACUGACGCUGAGGCACGAAAGCGUGGGGAUCAAACAGG
rnacentral:rRNA from 1 species